CAGAGGAACACUGUGUGCUGGCAUGCUGGGUCCCUGAACCAGACUAUGAAUAUUCAACAGUCUCCAAUGUGUGGAAAAAUAACAUGACAACAGAAAUUGUGGGAAAGCUUUAGAGAGAACUGCUGAACCGUACUGAAAGUCAUCAUUUGUGAAUGACUCCAGUAAAAACUCAUAUCCUAGAAGAGCUCUUUUUGUUUGUUUGGUUGGUUGGUUGUUUUGGUAUCAGGGAUUGAAUCCAGGAGUCCUUAACCACUGAUCUACAUCCCCAGACUUUUUUUUUCCCCCUUAAUUUAAAGGCAGGGCCUCACUAGGUUGCUUAGGGCCCUCACUAAAUUGCUGAGGCUGGCUUUGAACUUGCCAUCCUCCUGCCUCAGCCUCCCUAGCUGCUGGGAUUAUAGGCAUGCACCACCACACCCAGCUUCUUGGAGAGCUCUUAAAUAUGGGCCCUAAGCAACUCAGCAAGAUCCUGUCUCUAAGUGAAAAAAAAAAUCCACAAAAGGGCUGUGGAUGUGGCUCAGAGGUUAAGCACUCCUGAGUUCAAUACCUGGUACCAAACAAACAAACAAAAAAAGUAUGGAACAAACACUAAAGGAGGAUAGGAGGGUAUUGGAGUUAACACUUGUGAUAACCACUUGUUGUAACCCUGGAAGUCAGUACUUUUGCAAAGCUUUCUUUUAUGUAACAUGACUUUUUUCUAGAGUUUUCAAAAUCUAUAUCAAUUACAUAUUUUUUUUUUCUGUUUAGGAAGAGAAAAUCAAUCUUGUAACAUCAUCUAACUGAAAUAUCUAUAAAUAUCUAUAAACUAUUUAUGGUUUAUUCUCUGAUCUCUUUUCUGAAUAUUAGUUUUAAUCUGAAAAUGUUGAUUUCUUCUGAAAUACUCAUUUACAUAUCACUUUAAAUGUAUCACUUCAUCAACACUUUUGAAAUAAGAAGAAGGAAGAGGACCAUGCUUUCCCUAGGAAUUUCUGUUUCAUAGCCUCAGGAAAACCUAAUACUGCCGCACUAGAUCUUUCACUAAAGAUUUUGAUAAUCUAUUGAAGAUUACCAAUGAGAACAAAAGUUCUUUGUCAUAGACACAUCCCUCUUUAUCAGUAAGGUCACAUUCAGGUAAUAAGAGCUAUUUUGCUUUGAUUUAAUGGAAGCCCUUUUAGAGAGGGCUUUUCUAACUCCAACAUUAAAGUUAUAAAUAUAAUCCAGUGUUGCCAUAUUUAUUUUUUUAUUUCUCAGAUCCAUUCUAAAAUUAUCUAACAAUAUAAAUUAUGAUGCUGAGUAUUCUAAUGGCAGACACAAACACUAUCUUUCCAGUGUCUGGGACACUGUCUUAACUGUGGACAAAUAGUGAAAUAUUUUCCGUGGAGGUUUCAGAGCUUUAGAAAUAAUGAUAACAGCUAAUACUCAUUCAGUGUGCCAGGCAUUAUUCUAGUGCUUUCCAUGUAUUAUUUUACUUAAUCCUCCUGGCAGCCUCUUGUUAAGCAGUGUUGUCAUCUCCAUUUUCCAGAUAAGGAAAUUGAGGCUCAAGUAGAGUAAGACAGUUGACAGUUGAUGGAGGCAGAAUUCUGAGCCAGGCAUUCCGACCCCAGAGCUCCUAUCAUAAUUAUUCUGUUAUGCCAUCUCCCUUCUGUUCUUUGAUGGAGCCCAGGUGUCAAGCAGAAUUCCAGACAAACUGGCCAAACCAACAUAAACAGAAAAUAAUUUGCUCACCUACCACGCCAAAGAUUAAUUUUCUACACUGAUUAUAUGUUUAUUUGAUGGAGAUUUUUAUAUAUGCCAAUUUCAUGGGAUCAUUGUGAACCUUAACCAGAUUUAUUCUUAAAGGGCUUUUCAUAAUGGUAGGUUAUUAAUAAGUAGGUGAACACAUGUUGCUUCCACGAUUGCUCUUUAUUUAUCUGGAUGUCACAAGAUAAAUGGGUUAUGCCUAAAUCCCUUUGAUGCAGAUGUGAAUCUCUGAGUUCAAUGAAAUUCAGGUCCAAAUUUCCAAGACAGCAUAUUUUUUAAUCUACUAAAUUUGCAAAUAAGCAAACAAG
rnacentral:lncRNA from 1 species